rnacentral:lncRNA from 1 species
CUGGGAACCUCUCUAUCUCAUUGAAUAACCUAUCUGUUACUCAGGUUUUAAGCCAUAAAUCUAGGAGUCUAUAAAAUUACCACUCUUCGUUACAUGCUCAGCCUCACAACUAAUCGCCGUAGGUAGGCUGGGUUCCCUGGAAAGCAAACUUUGAAGCAGAAAUUAGUGUUCAGAAGUUUAGUGGAAGUUCUCAAGGGAUCUGUAGCUAUGGGAGGGAAAAUAAGGAAACAGAAUUAUGUGGGGGGGAAGGUUGGGUUGAGAUGCAGUCUCCAUGCCAAUCCUAUGGUUAUUCCUGGAUGAAUAUUUAUAUCCCUACACUGAUUAUUCACUGGAUGUGACCACUCUAGGAAGGUGUACAACCUUGGGCAAGGGAGAUCUUCCCAGCUGAAUCUGGGGCUUUUUAGUGGUAGCAUUCUCUCAAAACAUGGAUUUGAAUGGCACACUAUCCACGCUGAAAUAUAUCACCUCAUCCUAUCAUUUUGUUUUUUGAAUAGCUCUCAAGUCAUUCCAGUUCUUCAUGUCACCACUUUCACCACUCUAGUCUGCUACUAACAUUUCUCUCCUAUACACCAACUUCUUAAAAGGUUUUCCUAUAUCCAGUAUAUUUGUCUUUUACUUCAUUUUCCACCUAGCUGUGCAACCUUUAUAAAUCAGUUAUUGGAUCACCUUUCUCCUAUAGCUUAAAAACUUUCAAUGAUCUCCUAUUACCAUUAUGAUAAAACAUUAAUUUCUUACUAAGAUCAGUAAGGCUAUAAAGAUCUUUCCUCUUCAUGUCUCUUCUUUAACAUGCUGAAGCCACCUAUGCCCCCCUUGCCCUAUCUUCUGGCAAUUCCUGACUACACCAAGCCUCUCAAAUGUACCACUCUCUCACCUCUCAGGUUUUCCAUACAUUGCUUCUGACCCUGGGAAUAUACAUCACCUACCUCUAUCUCUUAUGACUGAUUAGCUUACUCUUCUUUAGAGACAUAUUUCUUGAAUCCUUAGAAUAGAUCAGAACCUUCUCCUUCUGCUCCCUUAGCACCUUUCAUUUCUCCUACCAGAAAAUUUACCUAUCAUAAAAAUAUUUUAUAAUUUUAUAUCAUUAUUAUCUCAAUUUAUACCAACUGCAUGCUAAUAGUCUCAUGAGAACAUAGCUUGUGUUGGCCAUAAGAAGCAACAUGGCCAAAUAUGGAGACUUUAUUCACAACCUUACUCUUUUUUUUAAUUUAUUUUUUUAAAUUGAAGUAUAGUUAAUUUACAAUGUCAUGUUAGCUUCAGGUGUACAACACAGUGAUUCACAUAUACACACAUAUAUUCUUUUUUCAGAUUAUUUUUCCUUAUAUAUGCAGACUUCCUCUUAUACAGCACCUGACUCAUGCAUAUUCCACAAAUAAGUAAAAAGGAAAAAAUUAAAACCAAAGACACCAAAAACAUAAUAUAACAAAAUAUUUUGAUAUAGGUAGGUAGUUGUUGAAUAUCUGGGAGGGGGGAACAAAAAGAAUGAAAUUGCAUAUAACUAAACAAAAAUUUCUUGAGAGUGUCCUCUCCCUGUGGCAUGGCCUUUGUUAAAUUAUCAUUCUUUUCUUUUCUGCCUUCCUCCUUUUCUUUCUUUUUUUUUCCUUUUUCUUUUUAGGGCUACACCUGAAGCAAAUAGAAGGUCCCAGACUAGGGGUCAAAUGAGAGCUGCAGCCUCUGGCCUAUACCACAGCCACGGUCACACCAGAUCCAAACCUUAUCUGCGACCUUCCCACUGAGCAAGGCCAGGGAUCAAACCCUCAUCCUCAUAGAUACUAGCCUGGUUCUUAACCCACUGAGCCACAACAGAAACUCUCUUCUUUCUUCCUUUCUUCAUCUCUUUCUUUCUUUCUUUUUAUUUCUUUCUCUUUCUUUCUCCUUCCUUCCUUUCUUUUUUCUCUUCCUCUCCCUCUCUCUCCCCUCCACAUGAUUUGAUUCCAUUUUUAUGUAAGAGAAUUUAGUCCUAUUCAUUACCUUCCUUAAGCAAGAAAAUAUAUUUGCUUUCCAAUCCAUCCUCCUUAAAUAGAUACAGUAGAGCUUCUAAAUACCAUAGAUGGAUUUGCAAGGUUUUAUAAUAAUAUUCAAUUCCUACAACUAUUCAUUGACAUUAGUGCAGGUGAAAAUGUCUGUGGAUUUAUGUAAAUCCCCAGAGCACCACUUCUUCCUCAACUACUGUAGAAAAUAUAUUGAAAUGCUUAUGAGUAUGCAUGAUAUCACUUACUUAUUUUAAAAAAUGUAAGUGCCCUCUGUGUGCCAGGUACUAUUCUAGUUUGGUGGAAUACAGAAGCAAGCAAGAGAUACAUGAUCUCAGGUUUCCUGGAGAUUUCUUUCCAGUGAGGAGAGAGGAAAUACAUAAACUGAAAAAUAAAAAGGCAGUGUUAAUAUAGAAAAAUCCCAAGAAGAAAAUAAAAGUGGACAAUAAGAACUGUAUCCAAGUAACUAUUAGAUUGAUUGGCCAUGGGAAAUGUCAUUGAGGAUCCAUUUGAGUCAGAAAGCUAACAUUUAGAAGAAUUCAGCUUGCAAAGAUCUGAAGGAAAGCCUUCCAGAUAACUGGAAUAUUAAUGCAAAAGCCCUCAGGUAGGGUGUAGUUGGAGUAGGUGGCUGAGGUUAAAACACAGUAUCUAGGGGAGAAGCAUGAGGCAAGCAGAUAUCACAUAAUGUACCCAUGGUUAGGAGUUCAAAUUCAAUUCUAUGGAGAUGUAAAGUAAGUAAAUGAUUUUGAUUAAGGAAUUAAAAUGAAAGAAGGAAGUGUGCUCAGACUGGAUACUGAGAGCAGGGCUUUUUAGAGGCAGACUGCGUGAUUUUGAAUCUCACCACUGAAAAUUGCUAGCUGUGUUGUCUAAGACAAUUCUCUUAAAUUUUCCAAGCUCAGUUUCCCGUAAAAUUGAGAUACAUAUAAAAGUGUCCAUUAUACUUUAUAUGAUUGCAGUAGGGUGGCAGUGGGAUAAGAGUGCUGAACCCCAACAAUGUAGGUCUCCAAUCCUUGUCCCUUUGGAGAAAAAUCUGCAAAGAGACUGAGAAUAGUGAGGCAAAUAAAAGUGUUUAUUAAGAGAGAAGGGAGAGAAGAUAGGUGAGGAGAAAGCACAGGCACGCUCCGGUGGACAGAGAGAGAAAGAUAGACAGACAGACAGAUAAAGAGCAAGGGAGAAAGAGCAGCUUGACACAGGUUUUAGAGGUAGUUUAAACCACCUGUAUGGGGGACAGUCCUUCCCUGCUUCCUCUAGCAAAUCAUCUUGCUCAGUCUGGCCUUGAGUCCACAUUUGGCCUGACUCUGGGCUCUCUCCUGUGUAUGCAUGCAUCUUUUGGCCAAGAUGGAUUUCAGCAGGACUCACCUCCUCCUGGCUCCUGCCAUAAUCUUUAUCUUGAAGUAUUUGUCCACUGGGGACAGAUUCCAGUUGCUUAGGUUGGGACCCAUCUAUCUCCUGCCUCAGCUAUCUGCUUUCUGUUUUAAAAGAUCAAACUGAAGUAGCAUGAAGAAAUAAUUGCGUGAAGCAAAUAGAAAUGGUGAACUCAUUUAGAGGUUUGUUACUUUUUAUUGCUGGCAUAACAAAUUACCACAUUUAGUGAUUUAAAAUUCUAAUUUAUCAUUUUCUAUUUCUGUGGGUCAGAAGUCAGACAUAGGUCAGACUCCUAAAAUCAAGGAGUUUGGCAGGACGGCAUUCUUUUCUAGAGGCUCUGGGGGAAAUCUAUUUCUUUGCCUUUUUCAGUCUCUAAAAGCCAUUUGCAUUCCCUUGGCUCAUGUCCUCCUUCAGAGGCAGUAACAGCAAGUCUGUUCACCUAAUAUUGCAUCUUUCUGACAAUUGGAAAUGAUUCUCCACUUUUAAGCACUCACAUAAUUAAAUUGAACCCUCUCAAAUAAUCCAGAUUAAUUUCCUCUCAAGGGUUAUACCCUUAAUUAUAAUUGCAAGUCCCUUUUGUCAUGAAUUUACAGGUUUUCCGCAUCUUUAGGAUUAGAAAAUGACUAUCUUUGAGUGGUCAUUAUUCUGCCUACUAUUGCUUAACACUGGUGAUUUUUAGAACAACAUCUUAGUAAUACUUAAUUUAGUAAUAUUUUCAUAAUUUAGUAACAUGUGGUAAUUUAGUAAUUUUGAAUUUAAACAGAUAUUUAAAGUAAAAUUAAAGAAGUCUUUUGCAAAUUUCAUAUAUAAAAAGAUAUAUUGUGGGCUUAAAAUUGUAGAAAGUCCUUAUUACCCAAAGAUACUUAAAAUAAAUCUUCUUAAAAGGGGGAAUAUAUACUAAUAAAUAAAAGACAAUUUUAACUAAAAGUCAUUUGUUUCACUUCAAACUUAACAAUUUAAGCUAUAAUCACAAUUACAUGGUAACUUUUAGAAUAAAAAGCUUGAGCAAGAGGGAAUCUUUUUUAAAGUACUUUUUCAGCAAAAUUGUAUGAUAGCAUAAUAGGACAUUAAUUAUAUUGAUCUUUAAAGCAAAAUAAUAAAUAAAGGCAUUUUUGUAAAUAGGAGCACAUUACCGAUUAAGGAUCCUGACUUAAUUUAAAUCAACCCUUCUACUAAAGAAACUGGAAUAUUUGAUAGAUAAAUAGACAGAAGGGAUGUAUAGAUAGAUAGGUGAUAGAGAGAUAGAUAAAGAGAAAGACAGACAGAUGAACUGCAGUGUCCUUGAAGAGCUAGUAAGACAGUAAAGAAUUGCCUAUUCAGUGUAACUAUGUAAGAAGGAAGGAAGUGAAGCUCUGAAAUGUGAGCCUAGCAUUUUUGACUCUUUGUCCCUGAAAGUAUAUUAUUUUAAAGGCUACAAAGAAGAAGACAAUUUGAGUCACAUUUUGACAACCUUACAGAGCUGGGUAGAUAAAAAUUGGAGCUGAAGACCUUCUGCAUACUUUUGGUUGAAAUUUGAAAAAGCUAUAUCCUGGAAGAAAAUGUGCAUUCAGUAUAAACUGGCAUUUUCAGGGACUAGAGUUCAACUUCAAAUCAACCUAAAAGUUUUCAAAUACUAUCAAAAAUAAUCAGGAAUAUGGAAUUCUAUGGUAGCCUAGCAAUUAAGGAUCCAGCUUUGUCACUGCUGUGGCUCAAGUCACUGCAGUGGUGCAGGUUCAAUCCCUGGCCCAGGAACUUCU